AGUGAACGCUGGCGGUAGGCCUAACACAUGCAAGUCGAACGGCAGCACAGGAGAGCUUGCCCUCUGGGUGGCGAGUGGCGGACGGGUGAGGAAUACAUCGGAAUCUACUCUGUCGUGGGGGAUAACGUAGGGAAACUUACGCUAAUACCGCAUACGACCUACGGGUGAAAGCAGGGGAUCUUCGGACCUUGCGCGAUUGAAUGAGCCGAUGUCGGAUUAGCUAGUUGGCGGGGUAAAGGCCCACCAAGGCGACGAUCCGUAGCUGGUCUGAGAGGAUGAUCAGCCAAACUGGAACUGAGACACGGUCCAGACUCCUACGGGAGGCAGCAGUGGGGAAUAUUGGACAAUGGGCGCAAGCCUGAUCCAGCCAUACCGCGUGGGUGAAGAAGGCCUUCGGGUUGUAAAGCCCUUUUGUUGGGAAAGAAAUCCAGCUGGCUAAUACCCGGUUGGGAUGACGGUACCCAAAGAAUAAGCACCGGCUAACUUCGUGCCAGCUGCCGCGGUAA
rnacentral:rRNA from 1 species